AGCUCAGCGUCUUAGCCACUAAGCCACCACAUCCCGGGAAGGACGAUAGGCGAUGUCAUUUAUUUUAUUUUUAUUUUUUUUGCCUUCCCACUGAGAUUUUUCACAGCUCUUCUGAGCGAAAAGAGGGAGGUGUUAAUCUUUUGAAGAAAUGUCAGGUUUCUCCUGGAGCUGAGAAGAUGCUUUCGCAGUUUGCGAAGCUCCGAUUCUAGGCUGUUUUCUUAAUUCUUCUUCUCCCCUCCGCCCCCCUUCUAGCAUCCACCAGGAAUACGGGAAAAGUAUCAUCCGUUUUCAGUUGGAAAGGGCACACGCUUGUAAAUGAAUAUAUAUAUAUAUAUGCCUCUCGCUAUCUCGCCACCAAGCCUUCAGUCCAAAGUCUAACAUUACUUCAACUGCGGAAGCCACGAUUAAGUAAAGGGGAAUAACAGCUAAUUUAAUUGGCUGUUUGGAAUCGAGGCUGGGGAAAACCUGUUCUCCUUAUUUGAAAGCGAGGGUAGGAAGAGGGAGACAGAUUAAAGCGUUGCAAAUCACAGGGUUGAGGCCUGCUGGAAAACGAACAUUGCUCGGCUCUGUUUUUUUUAAAAUAGGUGUACCACUGGAAAUGUUGGAUGUCAGAAAAGCUAGACAGCAUCUGGUCGAAGAAUGUAAUCCUUGCUGCGUGGGAAGACCAAAGCUGUCAAGCAGCUCGAGCCCUUUUCGGCCAAUCCAGUCGGGUGAUUCAAGGCACCGAGAGCAGCAUCGACAGGUGUCCAACCUGGUGAUUUGCUCGUGGCAUCGGAUUCCCCAAAAAAUUCACAAGUAAUCCGCUGCCUCCUUGGUGACUCAGGAAGGAAGGUCUACUGGCUGUAGAAGACCAUCAAGGUGAAGAUUCUGAAAGACGUCCAAGAGAAGCUGUUGGGUUCCUUCUAUCGGUGCAGCUUUAAUAGCAACCAACCUGAGAAAAAUAGUCCCAACACAGCCUCCAGGUUUUUGUAGUCUAUUUAGGGACCACUCUCUUGAUAUUAGGAGAGUUGGUCAUGUUCUCUAUGAAGUCCAUCAUGGUCCAAACACUUGGGAUUCCACAUAACAUUCUCGACGUACCGGACUGCGAACUCCUACUUGGCUCGGCUUCACAGCUGCCUUGAAAACUCAAUACUCCCAGUUUCAACCAAGAACCCAUUCCGAAUCUUCCCUGGAUGCCCAGAAAUGAGAUCCCCUGAUUAUUACUGUGUUUUCCCCGAAAAUAAGACCCUGUCUUGUAUUUUUUUUUUUUGAACCCUGAAAUAAGCACUUAGCCCAGAGAUGGGUUUCAGCAGGUUCUGACCAGUUCUGGAGAACCAGUAGUGGAAAUUUUGAGUAGUUCAGAGAACCGGUAGUAAAAAUUCUGACUGGUCCCGUCCCCAUCUAUUCUCUGCCUCCCGAGUCCUUGUUGACUGGGAGGAAAUGGGGAUUUUGCAGUAUCCUUCCCCUGGAGUGGGGUGGGAAUGGAGAUUUUACAGUAUCCUUCCCCUGCCACGCCCACCAAGCCACGCCCACAGAACCGGUAGUAAAAAAAACUUGAAACCCACCACUGGCUUGGCCUUAUUACCAAUUGGGCUUAUUAUCAGGGGAUGUCUUAUUUUGGGGGGGAAACAGUAUUAUUUUUUUUAUAAUUGCACAUUAGUAUCUUCAAAACGGUAAUGUUAAGUUAGCUUGGCAAGAUGCAGGGAGAACGCAAACCACACCUGUCUCCCUCUUGUGGCAAGAGAGAAUAAUUGCAGCUGCAUUCAAGAGAUGCCCAACAUUGAGAUAUUUAACAGAUUAACAGAGGCGGGAAGGGACCUUGUAGGUCAUCUAGUCCAACCCUCCACCCUACCCAAGCAGGAGACCCUACACCAUUUCUGACAUUUAGUGCUCGCUCUCUCCCUCUCUCACACACACAAACUUGUUACACAAUCAACUUGAAGUUAUGGCUGUUCCAACACUGGAGGUUUGGGGGCCUUUUUUCAGGCCGUUUUCCGGGCCCUUUUCAGGCCAUUUUCUGAGGCAUUUUGCAAGCCAUUUUCAGGCAGUUUUUUGGGCCGUUUUCAGGCCAAAAACGGCCCAAGAAACUGUCUGAAAAUGGCUUGGAAAACGGCCUGAAAACAGCCAAAAACCAAGCCAUUUUUCAGGCUGUUUUCCGGGCCUUUCCGGGUAGCCAUUUUGAGCACAGCGCGGGGUUACAUUCAGAAUAUAAGAUGCAAAUUUUCAGCCUCUUUUAGGAUGGAAAAAAGUGCGUCUUAUACUCCAAAAAAUACAGUAUAUAUAGUUUGAAAGUUUGCCCUCUGUUUGCCCCACCCACUCAAUUUCUAAAAAGUUCUAAUUUGGGGAACCUCAUUAGUAUGAUCUUAACACACCAAAAGGUAGAAUUUGGAAGUCAACAACACCACAGAACCCAAAGAGAAUCUUUCUGAAGUUGCCAGACGUUUACUAACAGGGGCGGACGAGUUAGGAAGGGAGGGGGGAGGGUCGGUUGGCCGUGCAUCAUCAUUGAGGGGGGGGC